AGAGUUUGAUCAUGGCUCAGAAUCAACGCUGGCGGCGCGCUUAACACAUGCAAGUCGCACGAGAAAGUGGAGCAAUCCAUGAGUACAGUGGCGUACGGGUGAGUAACACGUGGGUGAUCUACCUCUUAGUGGGGAAUAACCCUGGGAAACCGGGGCUAAUACCGCAUAAGCUCGAGAGAGGAAAGCAGCAAUGCGCUGAGAGAGGAGCCCGCGGCCGAUUAGCUAGUUGGUAGGGUAAAAGCCUACCAAGGCUGAGAUCGGUAGCCGGCCUGAGAGGGCACACGGCCACACUGGCACUGAAACACGGGCCAGACUCCUACGGGAGGCAGCAGUGGGGAAUCUUGCACAAUGGGGGAAACCCUGAUGCAGCGACGCCGCGUGAGCGAUGAAGCCCUUCGGGGUGUAAAGCUCUUUCGGCAGGGAAGAUUAUGACGGUACCUGCAGAAGCAGCUGCGGCUAACUACGUGCCAGCAGCCGCGGUAAUACGUAGGCAGCGAGCGUUGUUCGGAGUUACUGGGCGUAAAGGGUGUGUAGGCGGUUCUUUAAGUUUGGUGUGAAAUCUCCCGGCUCAACCGGGAGGGUGCGCCGAAUACUGAGGGACUAGAGUGCGGGAGAGGAAAGUGGAAUUCCUGGUGUAGCGGUGAAAUGCGUAGAUAUCAGGAGGAACACCGGUGGUGUAGACGGCUUUCUGGACCGUAACUGACGCUGAGACACGAAAGCGUGGGUAGCAAACAGGAUUAGAUACCCUAGUAGUCC
rnacentral:rRNA from 1 species